rnacentral:rRNA from 1 species
AUUGAACGCUGGCGGCAGGCCUAACACAUGCAAGUCGAACGGUAACAGGGAUCAGCUUGCUGAUUCGCUGACGAGUGGCGGACGGGUGAGUAAUGUCUGGGAAACUGCCUGAUGGAGGGGGAUAACUACUGGAAACGGUAGCUAAUACCGCAUAACGUCGCAAGACCAAAGAGGGGGACCUUCGGGCCUCUUGCCAUCGGAUGUGCCCAGAUGGGAUUAGCUAGUAGGUGGGGUAACGGCUCACCUAGGCGACGAUCCCUCGCUGGUCUGAGAGGAUGACCAGCCACACUGGAACUGAGACACGGUCCAGACUCCUACGGGAGGCAGCAGUGGGGAAUAUUGCACAAUGGGCGCAAGCCUGAUGCAGCCAUGCCGCGUGUAUGAAGAAGGCCUUCGGGUUGUAAAGUACUUUCAGCGGGGAGGAAGGGAGUAAAGUUAAUACCUUUGCUCAUUGACGUUACCCGCAGAAGAAGCACCGGCUAACUCCGUG